ACCUCAUGAUUAGGACAUUUUCUAAUAAUGUCCUUAUAUCUCUCCUAUGCUUCAUAGAGACUCUCUUCAUAAAACAUUCUGAAGUUAGAGAGCUCUGCUCUGACAUC